CUCAUUUGCAAGAGAACAACAAUAAUAACACGCUUCCGCAGCCCCGGAGUAUCUCUUCAUAUCCAUCCAAGGCCCUUCCUGAGCAACAACAGAAUUUGAAGCGGGAUGAGAAGCAACAGUCUGAUGAAGAUUACAAUUGUGGGAUUGCUGCAGGGAUUAAUAAGCAAAAGGAAGGGAAAAAAUUGGCAAUGUGUGAGGCUGAGGCAGUGAUUGUGUUGGAUAGUGAAAGUAGUGAUGAGGAAAGGAGUAGACCUGCGAUGACUCUAUCAGUGCUAGCAAGAAAGCGAAUGGGAAAGUGGAGAGUAAGAACUUGACAGUCUUUGGACUCCAAAUCAAUCAAGCCGUAUGUUUGUCCUUACCAAAUUUUGUGCUCUUACUUGCUACUCAGAAUGCUAAUUGUUCCAAUUCACCUGAAAACAGCUGGGCAUUUUACCCAC
rnacentral:lncRNA from 1 species